CUUGUAGGGUUUUAUUCCAAAGCGCGUUCCCAAAUCAUUCUUUCUCUAGGGUUUACACUUCUCUCAGGGUCGCUACCAUGGAUCUAACAAAGAAACGCAAGGCUGAUGAGAACGGCGGUGCUUAUCCCAUAUCCAGUGAACUCGUCACAACUACCGCCGCUCCUCCGGCACUCGGUAUUCUUUCACCUGAAGACAUCGACAAAAUUCUUGAAACAUUCACCAAAGACCAGUGCGUUUCAAUUCUCCGUAACGCCUCCCUUCGCUACCCCGAUGUCCUGGAAGCUGUACGUUCUGUCGCUGACGCCGACAUAUCUCAGCGCAAACUCUUCGUUCGUGGUCUUGGUUGGGAGACCACCACCGACAAGCUCCGACAGGUUUUUUCUGUUUAUGGAGAGCUAGACGAGGCUAUAGUUAUAACAGACAAGGCCUCCGCCAAAUCUAAAGGAUAUGGUUUUGUAACUUUCAAGCACGUUGAUGCUGCUAUUCUUUCUUUAAAGGAGCCCAACAAGAAAAUUGAUGGCCGUAUUACCGUGACACAGCUUGCAGCUGCGGGUAAUUCGGGGAAUUCACAGUCUGCUGAUGUUGCCCUUAGGAAGAUCUAUGUUGGUAAUGUUCCAUUUGAUAUUUCCUCCGAGAAGCUUUUGAAUCACUUUUCUAUGUAUGGAGAGAUUGAAGAGGGGCCUUUGGGAUUUGAUAAACAAACUGGAAAAGCCAAAGGUUUUGCUUUUUUUGUGUACAAGACUGAGGAGGGAGCUAGGGCUUCUUUAGUUGAUCCGGUGAAGACAAUAGAAGGACAUCAGGUGUUGUGUAAAUUGGCAACCGAUAAUAAGAAGGGGAAGACCCAGAAUAUGGGGCCUGGAGGUGCCCCUGGAAUGCCGAAUGCUGGACCUACAGGAAUGCCUGGUGAUGAUAGGGUUGGAUCGAUGCCCGGUUCAAAUUAUGGUGUUCCUGUAAGCGGGUUGGGUCCAUAUCCAGGGUUUUCAGGUGGGCCUGGUCCAGGAAUGCAGCAGCCACCACCUCAGCCUGGAAUGGUGGCACAUCAGAAUCCACAUCUGAAUUCAGCUAUUGGUGGGCCUGGAUAUGGAAACCAAGGACCGGGAUCCUUCACAGGUGGUGCUGGUGGAUAUGCUGGCGCUGGUGGGUAUGGUGGUGCUUCUGGGGAUUACAGUGGAUACAGGAUGCCUCAAAGCUCUGCUGGAAUGCCUAGUUCAGGAGGUUAUACAGAUGGUGGUAAUUAUGGUUUACAGUCGGCUUAUCCCUCACAGGUACCACAACCAGGAGCCGGGUCAAGGGUUCCACCAGGUGGUAUGUACCAGGGCAUGCCUCCAUAUUACUGAGAUGUCUGUGUGUGUGUUUUAAAGCAUUUGGACAAGGGGCUGCAGAUUGGAAGGUUUAUUUGCUUUACCACUGAUCUUCUGGCUCCUGGAUAUCAGUGUCUUGAGAGCUUCUUGGACGCAACAUGCUUUAAAUGGUUGUGGUGAUUUCCUGAUUGCAGACUCUGAAAUCUUUGGUUACAUGGACUGCUGUGCAUCUGUUGCUGCUUCACCUAUCUGCUCUUAUGUGUGGCUGUUAGUUGAUAUUUGCUAGUAUUAAGUUAGUACUUAGGUUACUUCAAAAAUUGCUGUAUCUUUUGAUUAGCGUAUUGAGGAUUGAUGUCAGUUUUGUUAUCAAAUAUUUCAUGUACUUCCUGUUUCUUGUACGUUCCCUAUCUGACGAAUGUGACCAUUUAGCUCUUCUAUCAUUUUAUGUUCAGCCAUUAUUGGCUUAACUUUCUGUAUGUAGACUACAGGGGAUCAUUAUGAUAUUGUCAGAUACUGCUGAUCCGAAACAAAUUAUUCGAUGUGAACAA